rnacentral:ncRNA from 1 species
UAGGCACAACGUAGGGAAGGGAGGUCGAGAGCUGGAUCCGUAACUUCGGGAUAAGGAUUGGCUGUAAGAGCUGAGUGGGUCAGGCUGGGGCACCUCCUCCCACCCAGGCCUCUCCCUCCCCAUUCCCCUCCCGCCCAGGGCGGCCAGGGAGAUCCCUGCAGGGGGCCAACUAGGACUGUGCACAGGAGCUGGCCCUAACCAUGGGUAGCCCCAGCUUCAUCCCCUGUCUUCACCCGCCCUCGACCCCCUGCCCACCGUGGUGGCCGCCCCACUGGUCCCCCCACCCGUCCGCCCCUGGGCCCAGGUUCUGUGGCGCCUCCCUUCCAUGGGCGCCUAGCAGCAGACUUAGAACUGGAGGGGACCUGGGGGAUCGGACUAAUGAAAGCAUCGCGAAGGCCCGCGCGGUGUUGACGGAUGUGAUUUCUGCCCUGUGCUCUGAAUGUCAAAGUGGAGAAAUUCAGUGAAGCGCGGGUAAAGGGCAGGAGUAACUAGGACUCUCAAGGCAGCCGACCACCUCUCAUCUGAUUAGUGACCCGCAGGAAUGGGUGAGCGCGGUUCCCACUGUCCCUACCUACAAUCAGCGAAACCACAGCCAAGGGGGGCUUGGCGGCAUCAGCGGGGAAAGAAGACCCUGCUGAGCGUGACUCUAGGCUGGCAGGUGAAGAGACGGAGAGGUGUAGAGUAAGUGGGGGGCCCGCGAGGGGGCGGGAAGGGGUCCUCCAGCCUGUGGCCCUGGUGAAAUACCACGACUCUUAUGGUUUUUUCACUGACCUGGGUGGGGGGCAAGCCCGGAGGGGCUCUUGCUUCUGUUGCCAAGCCCAGACCCGCUCCCAGGACAGUGCCAGGUGGGGAGUUUGGCCGGUACACCUGUCAAACGAUAACGCAGGUGUCCUAAGGCCAGAAACCUCCCGUGGAGCAGAAGGGCAAAGCUCACUUGAUCUUGAGUUUCAGUACGAAUACAGACCGUGAAAGCGGGUCUCACGAUCCUUCUGACCUUUGGGGUUUUGAGCAGGAGGUGUCAGAAAAGUUCCUACAGGGGUAACUGGCAAGCGUUCAUAGCGACGUUGCUUUUUGAUCCUUGAAUGUUGGCUCUUCCUGUCAUUGUGAAGCAGAAUUCACCAAGCGUUGGGUUGUCCACCCACUAAUAGGGAAGGUGAGCUGGGUUUAGGCCGUGGUGAGACAGGUUAGUUUUACCUACUGAUGAUGCCAUGGUGAUCCUGCUCGGUAGGCACCAGGGGAAACGCAGGUUCAGAGGUUUGGUGUGUGUGCUUGACUGAGGAGCCAAUGGGGGAAGCAUCCAUCUGUGGGAUUAGGACUGAGCCUCUAAGUCAGAAUCCUGCCCAGGCGGAAGGAUAGGGCAGCCGGUGGGGCCUGGUUGGCCUGGGACAGCCAACGAGGUCGCUGUGGAGCCCCAGCAGGUGCCCCAACAGCAUCCCCUGCAGAGAGCCCCUCCUCCUGGGACAUGGGCUCUCGCAAAGGGGGCCGCGCCCUGGCCCGCCAGGCAACCAUCUUAGCGGGGAACCUGGGGCUGAACUAUUAGGAGACCACCUGCUUCUGGGUUGGGCUUCCUACGCAGCAGAGCAGCUCCCUCCGGGAUCUGUUGAGAGUCAGCCCCGGACACUAUGGUAU